rnacentral:rRNA from 1 species
AUUGAACGCUGGCGGCAUGCCUAACACAUGCAAGUCGAACGAGUGGCGGACGGGUGAGUAAUUUAUCGGAACGUGCCUAAUAGAGGGGGAUAACUCCUAGAAACCGUGGCUAAUACCGCAUACGAUGCGAUCGGCCCAGAUGGGAUUAGCUAGUGGGGGGGGUAAAGGCUCACCAAGGCGACGAUGCAUAGCUGGUCUGAGAGGAUGACCGGCCACACUGGGACUGAGACACGGCCCAGACUCCUACGGGAGGCAGCAGUGGGGAAUUUUGGACAAUGGGCGAAAGCCUGAUCGAGCAAUGCCGCGUGUAUGAAGAAGGUUUUCGGGUUGUAAAGUACUUUCAGCGGGGAGGCGUUACCCGCAGAAGAAGCACCGGCUAACUCCGUGCCAGCAGCCGCGGUAAUUC